rnacentral:miRNA from 1 species
CGCGGCCCCCGUGACCCGGGAU